UGGGGAAUUUUGGACAAUGGGCGAAAGCCUGAUCCAGCAAUGCCGCGUGUGUGAAGAAGGCCUUCGGGUUGUAAAGCACUUUUGUCCGGAAAGAAAUCCUUGGCUCUAAUACGGUCGGGGGAUGACGGUACCGGAAGAAUAAGCACCGGCUAACUACGUGCCAGCAGCCGCGGUAAUACGUAGGGUGCAAGCGUUAAUCGGAAUUACUGGGCGUAAAGCGUGCGCAGGCGGUUUGUUAAGUCAGAUGUGAAAUCCCCGGGCUCAACCUGGGAACUGCAUUUGAAACUGGCAAGCUAGAGUAUGGCAGAGGGGGGUAGAAUUCCACGUGUAGCAGUGAAAUGCGUAGAGAUGUGGAGGAAUACCGAUGGCGAAGGCAGCCCCCUGGGCCAAUACUGACGCUCAUGCACGAAAGCGUGGGGAGCAAACAGGAUUAGAUACCCUGGUAGUCCACGCCCUAAACGAUGUCAACUAGUUGUUGGGGGAUUCAUUUCCUUAGUAACGUAGCUAACGCGUGAAGUUGACCGCCUGGGGAGUACGGUCGCAAGAUUAAAACUCAAAGGAAUUGACGGGGUCAUAGCUGUUUCCU
rnacentral:rRNA from 1 species